UGGGGAAUUUUGGACAAUGGGCGCAAGCCUGAUCCAGCCAUGCCGCGUGCGGGAAGAAGGCCUUCGGGUUGUAAACCGCUUUUGUCAGGGAAGAAAUCUUCUGAGUUAAUACCUCGGGAGGAUGACGGUACCUGAAGAAUAAGCACCGGCUAACUACGUGCCAGCAGCCGCGGUAAUACGUAGGGUGCAAGCGUUAAUCGGAAUUACUGGGCGUAAAGCGUACGCAGGCGGUUUUGUAAGACAGAGGUGAAAUCCCCGGGCUCAACCUGGGAACUGCCUUUGUGACUGCAAGGCUUGAGUGCGGCAGAGGGGGAUGGAAUUCCGCGUGUAGCAGUGAAAUGCGUAGAUAUGCGGAGGAACACCGAUGGCGAAGGCAAUCCCCCUGGGCCUGCACUGACGCUCAUGCACGAAAGCGUGGGGAGCAAACAGGAUUAGAUAGCCCUGGUAGUCCACGCCCUAAAACGAUGUCAACUGGUUGUUGGGAAGGUUCCUUCUCAGUAACGUAGCUAACGCGUGAAGUUGACCGCCUGGGGAGCAACGGCCGCAAGGUUGAAAACUCAAAUGAAUUGACGGGGUCAUAGCUGUUUCC
rnacentral:rRNA from 1 species